rnacentral:lncRNA from 1 species
AGCAUAGCAACAGCAGCGUAGCUGAACAUCUUACGGAUGGCCCAGGGCUCCAAAGGCUCGUUUCCUAAGUGAGAGAGAGCCUGGCUGAAGCUGUAUUACCAUUCAUUCUCCAGCCUCCGAAGUCUCAAAGCAUCACUUCCACCAUACUCUAACUGUCAAGACAAACACAAAGGCCCAGAAACUGCCAGACUGUCUUCUGAAGUGGCUAUAAUAUUUACACUCCCAUCAGCAGUGUAGAAGGGGUCUCACUAUGUUGUCUGGAGUGCUGUGGUGGAGUGGAGUGGCUAUUCACAGGAUUCUUGGAAUGGACUGUAAAAGUCUGGAAUCAAGACUUUGUGUUUCCUCUCUAACAUGUAAAGAGCUUAGAAGUUGUCGCUAUUGCCCUUACAACAAAAUGAAGCUGGACAAACUGAAAAUCAAUGACUUUUCUUGGACUCACUAUACAGCUGAGUUUGCAGAGUAAACCACUACCCUGAAAUCUGGAAAGGCAGGUGCACCCACAGAUCCUCAGCUGAGAUCCAAUUACCUGAAAUAGAAGCUGCCAUUAGGAACACUUAAAAGAGCCUGUUCUGCUGGGACACAGAAUCACUUGCUCCAUCUCAUACAUUGAUGAUGAUUAAUUUGUAUGUGUACCUUCCAAAAAAGAUGGUUGUGUUUGAAUGGAGGCCUUCUGGACAGGAAAAUAUGGAGAGUGCGUGCUUUGGAUUCAAGACUGGGAAUGAGGGGACCAGAAACCUAUUCUGUGGCUGUUUCUUGUUAGGACUUUCCUAAGCCUCUGGAAAAGUGCAAAGUACAAUUAACAUUUGAGUCUGUCUGAGUCAUGAAGAAAUGGAGAUUACUGAAAAUAAUUCAUUUUGGUAUCUUCUUACAUCCUGAGAGACUAAUCUUUCCAAGUUCAUCUGAGGCUCCUCUUCUCCAUGACAACCUCAUCCAGGGAUUUCUUCCUGUCCUGGUGUUUUAUGACAUAAUCACAUCCUUCCUGAGAUAAUGAGCACACAAUUGCCUGGAUACCUGAAGGAAUGGAGACAGCGGCAGAAAACACUGCAGAGAGGUGGAAACAUCCGUUAAUAUUUUAAAAUCCCAUUACUGCUACCAACAAUAAUAAUGGAUGCAUAGAAAUAGAUCUGGAUUAGCUGAGCUUGAAACAGUCCAUCUCACACACACACAAAAGAAUUUCAGAUACAGUGAACCCACAUGUUGAAGCUUUCUAGUAUAAUAAAAAUUUCAACUGUUCUGUUGAAUCAUCUGCCUGAUUGGAGGCUACAGAAAAGAUGUCAUCUUAGGAGUGCUUGCUCUGAGUGAGGCUCAUCUUCAAAUCUGAAUGACCACAAGGAGAUUUGAUUAUACAUGUGAACACCUCAGAAGGCACAGCCCACCCAGAAGGCAGACAGGUCAGGCUGCUUUUUCUUCAUUGCUUGGAUUCAAUCCUCCGGGCGGCUCAGGCUCAAACAUAACUUAAGCAUGAUUAAACUUUAGAAGAAGCUGCCAGGAAGACUGUGAAAUCUUCAUGCCCAAGGAUCCCUAAAAUUAGGAGCAACAACCACUUGGCUCAGACGGUUUAUGGAGGCAAAGGUUUGGAUGGGAUUAGAGAUUUCUAAAUGUGAGUUCGUGUCCUCUGCCAGACCACCUUACUUCCACCAUUCCUCAGCAAAUCAAGAAAAACAGGAGAAAAGACAUGCCUUUCCAUAAGUUAAAUCUAUUCUGUUUUAAUUCUAUAUUAUAUCUGCUGUACAACUUCUUUUGUUUGUAACACCAUAUUGUUGCUAGUAACUGGAAAUUAAUUUUCACAUGCCUCAGCUUAGAAAAAUAAAAAGCAGCCCUGCAUCAA